GUGCUCACUUUGGCAGCUCACACACUAAAAUCGGACUAUUACAGAAAAGAUUAGCAUGGCCCCUAUGCAAGCGUGAUAACACAAAUUUGUGAAGAGUUCCUUCCGUAU
rnacentral:snRNA from 1 species